AUUGAACGCUAGCGGGAUGCCUUACACAUGCAAGUCGAAUGGCGUGGCGAACGGGUGAGUAAUGUAUCGGAUCGUGCCCAGUAGCGGGGGAUAACUACGCGAAAGCGUAGCUAAUACCGCAUACUAUUGGAGCGGCCGAUAUCGGAUGAGCUAGUUGGUGGGGUAACGGCUCACCAAGGCGACGAUCCGUAGCUGGUUUGAGAGGACGACCAGCCACAGUGGGAGUGAGAGACGGCCAAGACUCCUACGGGAGGCAGCAGUGGGGAAUUUUGGACAAUGGGGGAAACCCUGAUCAAGCCAACCGGCGUGUGAGGUGAAGGCCUUCGGGUUGUAAAGCAGUUUUGGCAGGAGAGCGGUACCUGCAGAAUAAGCACCGGCUAACUACGUGCCAGCAGCCGCGGUAAUAC
rnacentral:rRNA from 1 species